rnacentral:rRNA from 1 species
UGUCUUCUAAAUAAAGACCAGUAUGAAUGGCUAAAUGAGGACAAACCUGUCUCUUGCAACUAAUCAGUGAAACUGAUCUCCCGGUCCAAAAGCCGGGAUAAACCCAUAAGACGAGAAGACCCUGUGGAGCUUUAAACAAACUACCAUGCACCCACCAACACUGCGACUAGUAGGGAGUUUUAAGUUGGGGCGACUUCGGAACUAAAAAAAACUUCCGAGCAUAGAACCACCCGUUCUUACCAAGACCAACAAGUCAAAGUCAAAAAUGACCCAGUAACACUGAUCAACGAACCAAGUUACCCCAGGGAUAACAGCGCCAUCUUCUUCAAGAGUUCAUAUCGACAAGAAGGUUUACGACCUCGAUGUUGGAUCAGGACACCCCAAUGGUGCAGCCGCUAUUAAAGGUUCGUUUGUUCAACGAUUAAUAGU